rnacentral:tRNA from 1 species
GGCUGGGGCUCUGUGGUAGAGCGCCUGCACAGCAUGCACAAGGCCUGGGUUCAAUCCCCAGAGUUA